ACGCUCGACACCUACUGGAGGCAGCAGUGGGGAAUAUUGCACAAUGGGGGAAACCCUGAUGCAGCGACGCCGCGUGAGCGAAGAAGUAUUUCGGUAUGUAAAGCUCUAUCAGCAGGGAAGAUAAUGACGGUACCUGACUAAGAAGCUCCGGCUAAAUACGUGCCACCAGCCUCGGUAAUCUGAGCGGGCUGGCAAGGC
rnacentral:rRNA from 1 species